GACGGAGGAGGCAAGCGUUGUCCGGAAUUAUUGGGCGUAAAGAGCGCGUAGGCGGUUUUCCAAGUCAUAUGUGAAAACUUUAGGCUUAACCUAAAGAUUGCAUGUGAAACUGGAUAACUAGAGUACGGCAGAGGAAAGUGGAAUUCCUGGUGUAGCGGUGAAAUGCGCAGAUAUCAGGAAGAACACCAGUGGCGAAGGCGGCUUUCUAGGCCGUUACUGACGCUGAGGCGCGAAAGCUAGGGGAGCGAACAGG
rnacentral:rRNA from 1 species